GCUGCAAAAUAUGUUAAUUUCCAAACCUUCUUGGAAGUCACCCAAUAAAUUCAGGCAUGGAAGGCAUGGUCAGAGUACAGGGUGAACGAAGAGAUUGUGCUGUGAGUUGGCCAGUAUCGUUUAUUAUAGGCAAUCCAGCAGGUGCGUAAAUAGCUCCUACUGGGAGGUUUUCCCCUCAGCUUCCCAAAAUGGCUCCAUUUCAACAUCCAGCAGUGACGCUGUAUUCUCAGAAUUGGAUUAGCUAAGCACUGGGCAAGUAAAAUCCACUAGAACGAUCCAAAGGAAAGCUUUGCUCCCACAUCGACAGCAUUAGUAUGAAAUAGGCUUUUAUUUAUCACAAAUUGUAGGUUUCAUCAACUAAUUGAAAAGUCUAGUUCUUGGAAGUGCACAUAUACAUUUCAUGUUAUAUAGUUCAAGUCUAUGUAUGUCAUUUUUGAGUCCUUACUAAGUAUCAGACCCUGUACUGGGUGCUGUGGAGGGUAGUCAGAUGAGUGCAACCUCGCCUUGUCUUUGGGAGUUCACACGUUUGUUGGGAGACAGGGGCAGAUAUAUCAUCUCAUCAUGAAACAGAUUGGGAAAUUUUAAAUGCAAGCAAAAUGCCGUGGUGUUAGAAAGGAAAACUUGGAGACGCCUCUUGGUAGAGUAAGAAUUAAAAGUAGGCAUUCUUGCAUUCAUUUUUUACACAGACAAUUAUUGAAUGCUUUAUAUCAUGAACACUCCAAGAGGGCCAAUUUUAGUUGUUAAUUAUUUACAGAAGAAUAAAGUUCAACAGGCAGAAAAGGGAGGGCACUCCAGGGAGUAGGAGUUUAGUUGAGGCCUUGAGGCUACAGGGCCUGCCCAAGAGAUGGGGAGGAGUCGGGUGUGGCUCUGACCCAGGAUGUGCAUAUGGGAGUGGGGGAGGGGGUGCUGUAGUGAAGGUAAGGAUGGAAGAUAGAUGAGGGUAAAACUGCAGAGGGUUCUGAAUGCCCAGCAAAGGAACAAUAAGUUUACAUUUAAAUCACAUUUUUACAAAUUGAGUCAUUCUAAGUUUACUGGGAUUGCUCCCUUUCUGGUGUAACAAUUGGAAGUGCGCUAUCUGGGAAUCAGACCACACUGAAUUUGAGCUGUGUCAGAUGAAUAACUGUGGACAAGUUAUUUAACCUUUCUGACACUCAGUUUUCUCAUCUGGGAAAAUGGGGUUUGUGCAGAUUAAGUGAAAAGACAUAGGUGAAAUGUCCACCAAGGGCAUUUGUCCAUCUUUAGUAGGUACUCAAUAAGGAUUAGCCUCUUCUCUUUCCCUCCCUUCCCUUCCUUUUUUUCCCCUCCCCUUCCCAGAGGAAGGCUCUGAUGAACAACACAUUUCAGUAAGAUCACUGAGUCCUCAAGCUUGAUUGCUAAGUUUUUUUCUCAAUUUUUAUCCCAGUGGUUCCCAAACCAGAGCAGUCAUCAGAAUCACCUACAGGUUAUGUGAAAUCACGGAUUGCUGGGUCCCACCCCAGAGUUUCUGAUUCAGUAGGUUUGGUGGGGGGGGGGGGCUGAGAAUUUGCAUUUCUAACACAUUCCCACAUGCUGCUGAUGUGGGGAGUGCACUUUGAGAACCCCAACCUUAUCUUGUUUUGCCCUGGUGUAGACCCUGUUAGUUGCUUACCCAAGAGCUAUCCCCUCAUCCCUGCUGACAGAGCCCUGAGCUGUUCUGGUAGUAUAGAAAGAUUCUUUGAUUUCAGUGUUAGGCUUCUACCUCAGUACCAGAAGAUGAUGAUGAUGAUGGGUCAAAACCAAUCACGGUAAUCUCAGUUCCCUUGACCAUUGAUUGAUCUGAAUGUACCAUGUAGUGUCUCAAGAGAUGUAAGGGUGAAUCAACUGACAACAACUCACAAAGAGAAGGGCUUCUCCCCCUUGCACCUUCUUCCUGAAUGUGUAUAUACUGCUGCAGUUACACUAGUCAUCUUGGGACCAAGAGACGACAAGCACGAGGAAGAGAAACAACAUGGCAAGGACGUUAGGGCAGAGAUACAGGAAGAACCUGGAUCCCAAAGGCAUCAUUGAGCUGCAUGCCCUGGAUUCCUACCUCAACUUGUUCUCGUGUUACUGUCAAUAACAAUGUAAGGAAUCAAUUAGAUGUGUUGUCUUCUCAUCUAUUAAGGAAGAAGGGAUUGGGACCAGGAGUUAAGAAAUGAGGAGAGAGGUGGCAGUCUUGAAGAAAUGCUCUGGGAGCAUCACUUGGAGCUCCUGAUUCCCCUCAAUGGCUCUUCUCACUUGACUACAAGAAUGAAUCUCAGAGAGGUUAUCCAACCCGACGAGGACCCCAUCUGGGAAACUGAGCUGGUUUGCAGUUUCCAAAACCUACGUUCAUUCCAUUGCAUCUUGUCUUUGGUGGACUUUGAAUGUGACUGAGCCCUACCCUUGACUUUUGGUGAACUUGCUGGGAACCAAGGCCAGCGAAGCCGCUUCUCGGAAGCCUUCGGGGGCUCAUCAGCUGACCCGGAAGCACAGCUUCAAGGUCCCCACUCUGGGUCGUGUGCUCUGCCCACCCCCCUACCCCAGUCAUGGCUUCACAUUAUCAGACAGCCCGGCUCCCUUUAAAGUUGCUUCAACUCAUGUUAACCGUCAUCUUGCAACAUUUCUAGCUGUUUUCCUGUGUCCCUUUCUUUUGUAGAGUAUAUAAACUCAGCAUGUUUAAUUUUUUUUUUUUUUUUUUUUUUUGCGUUACGCGGGCCUCUCACUGUUGUGGCCUCUUCUGUUGCGGAGCACAGGCUCCGGACGCGCAGGCUCAGCGGCCAUGGCUCACGGGCCCAGCCGCUCCGCGGCAUGUGGGAUCUCCCCGGACCGGGGCACAAACCCGUGUCUCCUGCAUUGGCAGGCGGACUCUCAACCACUGCACCACCAGGGAAGCCCAACAUGUUUAAUUUUUGAAAUAGAUUUGCUGUGAAGCCUCGUGGUUUUUUAGUGGCUUAAAAUGUAUUGUCUUGUGAGUUUUUUCGUGCCAGUCACAGUGUUCACUGUGGGAAGCAGCAGGACACCAGGGAGGUUGAUGUCUAUUCAGUUUUAGGGGGUUUUAAGGCAUUCCUGAGACCAUCCAGAUUUUAAAUGUUCUGUCUCAUUGUUCCUGAAGCUAUUAACAUAUGCGAGAAAUGAUGGUGUCUCAGCCCCUAAGCCACACAUUUCAGAUUGCCUCCUGUCCCCAGAAAUGACUUCUAUCAACAGCCUUCAGUAAGCCACUGUAAUGGUUCUGAAAUGAGAACAACAUGGUCAUUCCAUCAUUAAAGCCCCUCCUGCUCUGAGACUGGACACACAUUACUGUUUUCUGCCAGGGUUCUGAUUUAUGAGAUGCUCUGUGGGUUCUGGGUUUAAUGUAUAUGGCUGGCUGCCCUCAAUGUACACGACUUGCUGGAAUUCUUUCUCACGUGAUUAGAUGGAUCACAUUUAUGUUAUAUCGUUACUGUUUGGGUAUGCAGGCAAUCCUAGCUUUGUACAGUAUCAGUUAACUAAAGCACGUGCCUAUUGGAAUGUGUCCCCACUUCGCACGGUUCCCUGGUAACUGCUAAGUGAAGACACAAGAGUUUCUGUAUGAGUUUCAGUGAACAUGGUUCCAGCGCUAAGUAGGACUAGCUGUAGCUGCUUUUUAAAUAAAAUUUGGAGGAAGAAUGUGACUAUGGAGGCUUCCCUGAUGGCGCAGUGGUCAGGAAUCCACCUGCCAAUAUAGGGGACACGGGUUUGAGCCCUGGUCUGGGAAGAUCCCACGUGCCGCGGAGCAACUAAGCCCGUGAGCCACAGCUACUGAAGCCUGCACACAGCAACGAAGACCCAACACAGCCAAAAAUAAAUAAA